rnacentral:misc_RNA from 1 species
GAUGAAGAACGUAGCGAAAUGCGAUAAGUAGUGUGAAUUGCAGAAUUCAGUGAAUCAUCGAAUCUUUGAACGCACAUUGCGCCCCUUGGUAUUCCAUGGGGCAUGCCUGUUCGAGCGUCAUUUGUACCUUCAAGCUCUGCUUGGUGUUGGGUGUUUGUCUCGCCUCUGCGUGUAGACUCGCCUUAAAACAAUUGGCAGCCGGCGUAUUGAUUUCGGAGCGCAGUGCAUCUCGCGCUUUGCACUCAUAACGACGACGUCCAAAAGUACAUUUUUACACUCUUGACCUCGGAUCAGGUAGGGAUACCCGCUGAACUUAAGCAUAUCAAUAAGCGGAGGA